AGGGGUGGGGAGGAGGAAGUCUAUGAGACAGGAGUCUUUGUAACUUGUACGAAAGGAGAGUGAAGCAGCUGAAUGGCCAGAGGAGAUAGCUCUGUGCGAACGCCUCCCCCUGCGUACACAUGUGCUCUUUGUUCCAGCCAGGGCACCAAAGGGAAACAGAAGCCUCCAAAGUAAAGUUCUGCCUCCUCUGGGACUGCCCUGCUUUCCCACCCAUCCUUCACCACCCUCCCUCCUGAAGCUUUGCAUCGUGCCUGUCUGCAGCCACAACUCAAUAUUGGGUUACAGGAGGCCUCCAGCUGACCUGCUGGCUUCAUCCUGCUGUAAAAAUACCGCUGCUGCCAUUCGUCUCUCUGAUUACUCCUGGCUCAUAACAGGUGGGGCUGCCAGCCUGAAGAGAGAAGGCAAGGUGGAAGAGCUGCUCUUGCCUGCAUGCCCUCCCCCUCAGAGGGCAGGGGAGAAAACAGCACAUGUGUUCACUCCCCCAGCUGUUUUCCCAAGGUCUGGGUUUUUUCAGAGAAGAGUUUUGUGUAAGCCCCUUUAUUUCUAAGUGUAGCACCACUGGAGUCAGCUGAGGGCCACAGGCAGCCCCUGCUCGCUUUAGUUCCCAGCAUAGCCUCGGUUCUGACACAGGUCCCCAUCAAAUUCCCAGCUGACUUCUGCGGUCGUCUCAUCACUGCAGAAACACAGCAGACAUUUAAUUAGUCUCACAACAAGUUCCAUGCUACCUGGUAGACAUCUGGGGUGAGAGCUGCCCUGUCUGGCUGUUUGGCUUUGGUCUUCUGCCUUGGUCGCACUUGGUGGGGGAGUGGGAGCUGAAGAAAUAAGGUGGAAACAACUAGGAGCUAGCAAAAUAUUUGCUUUCCAGAAAUAGAUAGGAGAGGGAGGGACUUGCAUUUGCCUCAGUCUGCAGCAUGGGUGUGUUUUAGAUGUAGAUCUUAACUCAAUGUCUUGUUCCAUCUCUGCAGUGAUGUAAUCCCUGGAGUAUUGUUUGAAAAUGCAAAACAGUUUCCUCUGGCUCUUGAUAGCAGCUUUACAUUCCUCCUGGAAUGAGGUAGUGGUGGCCUGCCUGGUGGCCCAGGGUUGCCUAGGUAAAUAAGGAUGUGCAUAAAAGGUUUCUACACAAAACAGGAGGGAUUUAACGACACAAA